AGAGUUUGAUCCUGGCUCAGGACGAACGCUGGCGGCGUGCCUAAUACAUGCAAGUAGAACGCUGAAGAGAGGAGCUUGCUCUUCUUGGAUGAGUUGCGAACGGGUGAGUAACGCGUAGGUAACCUGCCUUGUAGCGGGGGAUAACUAUUGGAAACGAUAGCUAAUACCGCAUAACAAUGGAUGACCCAUGUCAUUUAUUUGAAAGGGGCAAAUGCUCCACUACAAGAUGGACCUGCGUUGUAUUAGCUAGUAGGUGAGGUAACGGCUCACCUAGGUGGCGAUACAUAGCCGACCUGAGAGGGUGAUCGGCCAUACUGGGACUGAGACACGGCCCAGACUCCUACGGGAGGCAGCAGUAGGGAAUCUUCGGCAAUGGGGGCAACCCUGACCGAGCAACGCCGCGUGAGUGAAGAAGGUUUUCGGAUCGUAAAGCUCUGUUGUAAGUCAAGAACGAGUGUGAGAGUGGAAAGUUCACACUGUGACGGUAGCUUACCAGAAAGGGACGGCUAACUACGUGCCAGCAGCCGCGGUAAUACGUAGGUCCCGAGCGUUGUCCGGAUUUAUUGGGCGUAAAGCGAGCGCAGGCGGUUUGAUAAGUCUGAAGUUAAAGGCUGUGGCUCAACCAUAGUUCGCUUUGGAGACUGUCAAACUUGAGUGCAGAAGGGGAGAGUGGAAUUCCAUGUGUAGCGGUGAAAUGCGUAGAUAUAUGGAGGAACACCGGUGGCGAAAGCGGCUCUCUGGUCUGUAACUGACGCUGAGGCUCGAAAGCGUGGGGAGCGAACAGGAUUAGAUACCCUGGUAGUCCACGCCGUAAACGAUGAGUGCUAGGUGUUGGAUCCUUUCCGGGAUUCAGUGCCGCAGCUAACGCAUUAAGCACUCCGCCUGGGGAGUACGACCGCAAGGUUGAAACUCAAAGGAAUUGACGGGGGCCCGCACAAGCGGUGGAGCAUGUGGUUUAAUUCGAAGCAACGCGAAGAACCUUACCAGGUCUUGACAUCCCGAUGCUAUUUCUAGAGAUAGAAAGUUACUUCGGUACAUCGGUGACAGGUGGUGCAUGGUUGUCGUCAGCUCGUGUCGUGAGAUGUUGGGUUAAGUCCCGCAACGAGCGCAACCCCUAUUGUUAGUUGCCAUCAUUCAGUUGGGCACUCUAGCGAGACUGCCGGUAAUAAACCGGAGGAAGGUGGGGAUGACGUCAAAUCAUCAUGCCCCUUAUGACCUGGGCUACACACGUGCUACAAUGGUUGGUACAACGAGUUGCGAGUCGGUGACGGCAAGCUAAUCUCUUAAAGCCAAUCUCAGUUCGGAUUGUAGGCUGCAACUCGCCUACAUGAAGUCGGAAUCGCUAGUAAUCGCGGAUCAGCACGCCGCGGUGAAUACGUUCCCGGGCCUUGUACACACCGCCCGUCACACCACGAGAGUUUGUAACACCCGAAGUCGGUGAGGUAACCUUUUGGAGCCAGCCGCCUAAGGUGGGAUAGAUGAUUGGGGUGAAGUCGUAACAAGGUA
rnacentral:rRNA from 1 species